CACGUAGGGUGCGAGCGUUGUCCGGAAUUAUUGGGCGUAAAGAGCUCGUAGGCGGUGUGUCGCGUCGGCCGUGAAAACCUGCAGCUUAACUGUGGGCUUGCGGUCGAUACGGGGCAUCACUGGAGUUCGGCAGGGGAGACUGGAAUUCCUGGUGUAGCGGUGAAAUGCGCAGAUAUCAGGAGGAACACCGGUGGCGAAGGCGGGUCUCUGGGCCGAUACUGACGCUGAGGAGCGAAAGCGUGGGGGAGCGAACAGG
rnacentral:rRNA from 1 species